rnacentral:rRNA from 1 species
CUCCGGUUGAUCCUGCCGGACCCGACUGCUAUCAGAGUGGGACUAAGCCAUGCGAGUCAACAUAGCAAUAUGUGGCAUACGGCUCAGUAACACGUAGUCAACAUGCCCAGGGGACGUGGAUAACCUCGGGAAACUGAGGAUAAACCGCGAUAGGUCAUCACUUCUGGAAUGGGUAAUGACUUAAAUCUAUAUGGCCCCUGGAUUGGACUGCGGCCGAUCAGGCUGUUGGUGAGGUAAUGGCCCACCAAACCUGUAACCGGUACGGGCUCUGAGAGGAGGAGCCCGGAGAUGGGCACUGAGACAAGGGCCCAGGCCCUAUGGGGCGCAGCAGGCGCGAAACCUCUGCAAUAGGCGAAAGCUUGACAGGGUUACUCUGAGUGAUUUCCGUUAAGGAGAUCUUUUGGCACCUCUAAAAAUGGUGCAGAAUAAGGGGUGGGCAAGUCUGGUGUCAGCCGCCGCGGUAAUACCAGCACCCCGAGUGGUCGGGGCGUUUAUUGGGCCUAAAGCAUCCGUAGCCGGUUCUACAAGUCUUCCGUUAAAUCCACCUGCUUAACAGAUGGGCUGCGGAAGAUACUAUAGAGCUAGGAGGCGGGAGAGGCAAGCGGUACUCGAUGGGUAGGGGUAAAAUCCGUUGAUCCAUUGAAGACCACCAGUGGCGAAGGCGGCUUGCCAGAACGCGCUCGACGGUGAGGGAUGAAAGCUGGGGGAGCAAACCGGAUUAGAUACCCGGGUAGUCCCAGCUGUAAACGAUGCAGACUCGGUGAUGAGUUGGCUUAUUGCUAACUCAGUGCCGCAGGGAAGCCGUUAAGUUUGCCGCCUGGGGAGUACGGUCGCAAGACUGAAACUUAAAGGAAUUGGCGGGGGAGCA